UGACUAAGUAUGUUUCAACUUGGACACACACGCACGCACGCACGCACGCACGCACAAAGGAUACCACAAAAUACUUCCGAGUUCAUUCGUAUACAGGGGACCCUAAAGAAAAAUUAUUCUUGCAUGCACCGAAGGAGAAAAUCUCCACGUACCUGUCCCCGACCCAUUAGCCCGUUGCAUUCGCUGGUGGAGCCAGGAGCAUAAUUUUCUGAUGCAGCCAGAGAGGUGGAUCUUUGUGACGUCUGUCGAUUGUUCCUUUGGAUCCGGAAGCAGCAUCCUAUGCAAUCUAUCACAACAGGGAGGACUGCUGACAUCUUGCUGUCAGAAGACCGUAGGGAAAUUUGUACUCAUUUAUUCCAUUUAAUCUUUUGGUCCCCUGGCUCACCAGCUGCCCAGGAGUGCUGCCUGGAUCAAGGUCAGACUUAGAAGGAUCAUGCAGUUUAAAACAACCAACAGACAGGAUUUUUGAACAACCACCUUUGUUUAACUGAGACCUUCUAGAAACACAGCAAAGUAAGAGUGAUCGUGCCUGAUGGUCUGGUUCAAACACAUUCAGAAGAAUCAUGAACCUGGGGAAAGGGUUGUAGAUCCCUAAGGGCCUCGAUGCCCUGUUCUACGAGGUGGAAAUGGUAUUCUAGAAGGCUGACUUUUAGUAUGAUGUUAUGAGGACGACUUCAUGAAGUACGGGUAACAUUUUAGAAAAAGGAAGGACGGGUGCCUCGUCAAUGCUCCGUAUGCGUUCAGCCUUGAGUGAUGGCAAGAGUAAGCUAGACAGUCAGUGGUGGCUGAAAACCAAAGGGGGUAAAUGGAUGCCUCAAGUCGGGAAGGGUGGAAGCUUAUUCCCCAGCAUCUUCAUGGGAACGAUGCUUCGCAGCUCAUGGACAGUACCUAUUUUCAUCUCCUCUGAUACUCAGUCCUGUUGAAGGUGAGGAAGUGCAAACAGGACCCACAUGAGGGGUAACCAAGUGACAGUCCAAGCGUCACAACAAUGACGGGUGAUGAAUCUGAGGCAGGUGGACCAGACAUAUUAAUUAAGACAACGAACCCGGAAGUUAUACGCAUAACUCUAGAGAUAGCUCAGAGGGGUAGAAAUGAGAAGAAAAACACAAGAAGGAAAAAUGCAGGAGACAAAGUGAGCGAGCCCAUCUGAAGGAACAGCCACUCGGGGGAGCAAUGUAAACUUACCUUAGGAACAGUGAUUGAGAUUGCCCAUUCCUAAAGCAUGAGCCGUGAAGUGAGAGCGUCACACUGGCCACCACGUACAAACCUCUCAGGCCACAGAGCGACAGCCUGACCAUGAGGCAAGAAGUGCACAAGCACAUUACCGUGGUGACGUGUCAUCGUACCACUUUCAGAGGGAAGUCAACCCCUGCACAGGAUGGGUCCAACGGCUGCCGGCAGAGAGCGUGUUUCCAUGGACAAGCUUGGCUUUUCAGAGGAGCCUUGUCAUUUCCGAAACGGAAUCUCAGGCUCCCACAGAACCCUCUGACUAAGAAAAUAAUUUUCUAUGAGAGAGAACGACCUGUCCCCCAGGAGGAGUUGAGAGUGAACCUUGCAGGGUGAAGAGGCCAAAAAGCCAGCAUGUGCAGAAUUUAAGGAAGAACUACCCCUCCAUUUCUACUCUUCCUGAGUCACUAGACAUUUGCCAAUCAAACCAUUUCAAAACGUGAGAUUUAAGGUUAUUGUAACCAGGGUGAAUGUUUUCAUGUUUCAUGACGACUGCUAUUCUGCAGUGUCCUAUUCAAGUUUGCUGCUCACAAAAAUUACUAUUUUUGAUGCACAUUGCAAGUAAGUCUCCAAUUUGUCACAUGCUUGUAUCUUACUACAGUUACUCGUACAUACAACCUGAGGAAAGUUUUCUUCUUUUGCCAAAAAGAAAAAAAAAAAAA
rnacentral:lncRNA from 9 species